ensembl:lncRNA
AAAACUUCCGCAUAGGAUACACCUGUGUAUCCUCUAGGGGUGGAACGGUACACAGAAGUCACGGUUCGGUUCGUAACUCGGUUUAGACUUCACGGUUCGGUACGAUUUUGGUACAAUGGAAGGAAAAGCAAAACAAAAAUGCAGAAGCUUGAAAUUCACCCGGGCUUUUUGUUCCCAAAAACGUGUUGUGGUCAGCAAGCCAUGCAAACACCCCCACUACCAUGGCACGGAUGCUCUUACUGGGAGUGUUUGAUAUCGAAACCCUUUUAAAGAGCAAUCUUAGAGGUGGCAAGUCCAAAAAUGUGAGCCCUGGGGAAACCAAAGAGCCAUUGGACAGGAUAAAAAUUGAUGCAAUAAUGAUUGGACAAAUUCUAGUCCUGAUGAUUCUGCCACGAGAAGAAGGCAACCCCCAACUGACGGGGGAGGCUAAGGAAAGUUCCGGUUCUGGACAACGUUUACUGGGGCGUGGAAGACCAACUGCACAAACAUGCCACGCUGGGUCCAUACCAGGUACACCUCAUAUGCUGUCCAGGUAGCUGAGGAAGGAGCCUGGGGUCGACGCCACACGCUACAGGAGGGCUUCAGUGUUUACAAAUUUGGCACAGUGAAUUGAAGUCACUGAGGGAAAAGUGAGCUUUUUGGUACUAGUAACCAUCACUUCCAACCCGGCCUGCCACUAUAGAGUUCUUAAAUAAAACUGGUCAUCUUGGAAUUCACAAAAGAGAGCACACAGAUUCUCCUGACCUGGCUGAUAAAGCAGCUAGAAUAAAGACAACUAAAGCUGUGUCAUGGUAACCUGCAUUUGAACUAUGAAGGACAACACCUUGGAAUAUACAGGUGCUGGUCAUAAGAUUUGAAUAUCAUCAAAAAGUUGAUUUAUUCAGUAAUUCCAUUCAAAAAGUGAAACUUGUAUAUUAUAUUCAUUCAUUACACACAGACUGAUAUAUUUCAAUUGUUUAUUUCUUUUAAUUUUGAUGAUUAUAACUGACAACUAAUGAAAACUCCAAAUUCAGAAAAUUUGAAUAUUACUUAAGACCAAUACAAAAAUUUUUUUUUUUGAAAUGUUGGCCAACUGAAAAGUAUGAACAUGAAAAGUACGAGCAUGUACAGCACUCAAUACUUAGUUUGGCCUCCUUUUGCCUGAAUUACUGCAACAAUGCGGCGGAGCAUGGAGUCGAUCAGUCUGUGGCACUGCUCAGGUGUUAUGAGAGCCUAGGUUGCUCUGAUAGUGGCCUUAAGCUCUUUUGCAUUGUUGGGUCUAGCGUAUCGCAUCUUCCUCUUCACAAUACCCCAUAGAUUUUCUAUAGGGUUAAGGUCAGACGAGUUUGCUGGCCAAUUAAGAACAGGGAUACCAUGGUCCUUAAACCAGGUACUGGUAGCUUUGGCAUUGUGUGCAGGUGCCAAGUCCUGUUGGAAAAUAAAAUCUGCAUCUCCAUUAAGUUGGUUAGCAACAGGAAGCAUGAAGUGCUCUAAAACAUCCUGGUAGAUGGCUGCGUUGACCUUGAACCUCAGAAAACACAGUGGACCAACACCAGCAGAUGACAUGGCACCCCAAACCAUCACUGACUGUGGAAACUUUACACUGGACUUCAAGCAACGUGAAUUCUGUGCCUCUCCUCUCUUCCUCCAGACUCUGGGACCUUGAUUUUCAAAGGAAAUGCUAAAUUUACUUUCAUCAGAGAACAUAACUCAGCAGCAGUCCAGUCCUUUUUGUCUUUAGCCCAGGCGAGACGCUUCUGACGCUGUGUCUUGUUCAAGAGUGGCUUGACACAAGGAAUGCGACAGCUGAAACCCAUGUCUUGCAUACGUCUGUGCGUAGUGGUUCUUAUAGCACUGGCUCCAGCUGCAGUCCACUAUUUGUGAAUCUCCUCCACAUUUUUGAAUGGGUUUUGUUUCACAAUCCUCUCCAGGUUGCGGUUAUCCCUAUUGCUUUUUUUCUACCACAUCUUUUACUUCCCUUCGCCUCUCUUUUAAUGUGCUUGGACACAGAGCUCUGUGAACAGCCAGCCUCUUUAGCUAUAACCUUUUGUGUCUUCCCCUCCUUGUGCAAGGUGCCUACAGAACUAGACUGAGAGACCAUUUAAAGGCCUUUGCAGGUGUUUUGGGUUAAUUAGCUGAUUUGAGUGUGGCACCAGGUGUCUUCAAUAUUGAACCUUUUCAUAAUAUUCAAAUUUUCUGAGAUACUGAAUUUGGGGUUUUCAUUAGUUGUCAGUUAUAAUCAUCAAAAUUAAAAGAAAUAAACAAUUGAAAUAUAUCAAUCUGUGUGGAAUGAAUGUAUACAUUAUUCAAGUUUCACUUUUUGAAUGGAAUUACUGAAAUAAAUCAACUUUUUGAAGAUAUUCACAUUUUAUGACAAGCAGCUGUACAGUGGGGAGAACAAGUAUUUGUUACACUGCUGAUUUUGCAGGUUCUCCUAUUUACAAAGCAUGUAGAGGUCUGUAAUUUUUAUCAUUGGUACACUUCAACUGUGAGAGACGGAAUCUUAUGUCAUGCAAUAAAAUGCAAAUGAAUUACUUAAAAAUCAUACAAUGUGAUUUUCUGGAUUUUUGUUUUAGAUUCCGUCACUCUCAGUUAAGAGUACCUAUGAUAAAAAUUACAGACUUCUACAGGCUUUGUAAUUGGGAAAACCUGCAAAAUUGUCAGUGUAUGAAAUACUUGUUCUCCCCACUGUACAUCUGACUUUUACAUUCUUAUACCGGUCUGCCAAGAAAUGGUUCAUAACUGACUGUCUGAUGUUUGGGGGAGCAGAACAUCUGUGAUGACUUUGGAAGUACAUCUUAUUGGAACCACGAGAGGACUUUUCAGUGAAUCAAACAAUUAGCAUAUGAUGACUUUGUACCAGCAACAAAUUGAAGGAUGUAUUCAGUAAUUGGUGUUUACUCACCCACAUGUCGAUGCAACUUACCCCAUACUGUCUGUGUAUAUGUGUCACCUGAAAUAACUUCCUUUGACCAGUGAUUUUAACAUAAAAGCCUUUGCUGUACUAUCUUAUAGUUCUGUGUAAUGAAAAUGUGUGGUCUUGGAGUUACAACGCAGGUAAUGGUAAAUGAGGAUCCAGCCAUUUCACACUCAUUCCCUUCUUUAAUCAUUAUGGUAAUCAUAUCAACAGGGUCAUGUUGUUAAAGAGUACUGUUUUGUUGCAUUCUACAUCCUAAUGAGUAAAUUGUUUAAGGAUAAUACCAAGGGUUAAUCAACCCUUGGAUUGAUUGAUGGAUUGUUAUGGAACUUUCUUGAACUGAUGUAUUCUUAUUGAUUAAAGUAUUGAGUCCCCAUUAUUAAGAUAAGAAAAGGAAGUAUGAGGUGCUGAGGUAAAUGAAAAUCUUUAGCAGGAUGGGGGUUGAUGCAGAACAAUGGGUCUUAGGACAGGAUAGAGGAAAAUACACAACAAGGGGUAUGAUGGAUAAGGAACAUAGGUUGUUUUUAUGGUACGACCAUGCAGUUUCUUAUCUCCACCCAUUCCUCUAUAAGUAUUGAAUGUACUUCCAAAUGCUUUAGAGAUUAUACACCAUUACUUGGUAACCUGUGUACUGUA